CGGCGUGCUUACACAUGCAAGUCGAACGUGAAGCCCGGUACCUAGUAUUGGGUGGAAAGUGGCGGACGGGUGCGUAACACGUUGGUGACCUGCCCCGAGGUGGGGGAUAACCGUGGGAAACCACGGCUAAUACCCCGGAUGCCAAAGUAUUUAGAAAGCUUUGGCUAAAGCUCCGGCGCCUCGGGAGGGGCCUGCGGGCUAUCAGCUUGUUGGUGGGGUAAUGGCCUACCAAGGCAAAGACGGCUAGGGGGCGUGAGAGCGCGACCCCCCACAAUGGAACUGAGACACGGUCCAUACUCCUACGGGAGGCAGCAGUGAGGAAUAUUGCGCAAUGGGGGCAACCCUGACGCAGCAACGCCGCGUGGAUGAUGAAGGCCUUCGGGUUGUAAAAUCCUUUUCCGGGGGAAGAAUCAUGACGGUACCUCGGGAAUAAGUCCCGGCUAACUACGUGCCAGCAGCCGCGGUAAAACGUAGGGGGCGAGCGUUAUCCGGAUUUACUGGGCGUAAAGCGCACGUAGGCGGCGCUGUAAGUUGGGCGUGAAAGCUCCCGGCUCAACUGGGAGAGGUCGUUCAAAACUGCAGUGCUUGAGGUUGGAAGAGGAGAGUGGAAUUCCCGGUGUAGUGGUGGAAUGCGUAGAUAUCGGGAGGAACACCAGUGGCGAAGGCGGCUCUCUGGUCCAACCCUGACGCUGAGGUGCGAAAGCGUGGGGAGCGAACGGGAUUAGAUACCCCGGUAGUCCACGCUGUAAACGAUGGAUACUAGGUGUGGGAGGUUACUUACCCCUUCCGUGCCGUAGCUAACGUGAUAAGUAUCCCGCCUGGGGACUACGGCCGCAAGGCUUAAACUCAAAGGAAUUGACGGGGGCCCGCACAAGCAGCGGAGCGUGU
rnacentral:rRNA from 1 species